AACGAACGCUGGCGGCAGGCCUAACACAUGCAAGUCGAGCGCCCUUUCGGGGGAGCGUCGGAUGGGUGAGUAACGCGUGGGAAUAUGCCCUUCUCUACGGAAUAGCCUCGGGAAACUGAGAGUAAUUCCGUAUACGCCCUGCGGGGGCAAGAUUUAUCGGGGAAGGAUUAGACCGCGUUGGAUUAGGUAGUUGGUGGGGUAAUGGCCUACCAAGCCGUCGCUCCAUAGCUGGGUUGAGAGGAUGAUCAGCCACACUGGGACUGAGACACGGCCCAGACUCCUACGCGAGGCAGCAGUGGGGAAUCUUGGACAAUGGGGGCAACCCUGAUCUAGCCAUGCCGCGUAAGUGAUGAAGGCCUUAGGGUUGUAAAGCUCUUUCAGCUGGGAAGAUAAUGACGUUACCAGCAGAAGAAGCCCCGGCUAACUCCGUG
rnacentral:rRNA from 1 species